CCUACGGGGCGCUGCAGUGAGGAAUAUUGGUCAAUGGACGAGAGUCUGAACCAGCCAAGUAGCGUGAAGGAUGACUGCCCUAUGGGUUGUAAACUUCUUUUAUAUGGGAAUAAAAUGUUCCACGUGUGGGAUUUUGUAUGUACCAUAUGAAUAAGGAUCGGCUAACUCCGUGCCAGCAGCCGCGGUAAUACGGAGGUUCCGAGCGUUAUCCGGAUUUAUUGGGUUUAAAGGGAGCGUAGGUGGAUUGUUAAGUCAGUUGUGAAAGUUUGCGGCUCAACCGUAAAAUUGCAGUUGAAACUGGCAGUCUUGAGUACAGUAGAGGUGGGCGGAAUUCGUGGUGUAGCGGUGAAAUGCUUAGAUAUCACGAAGAACUCCGAUUGCGAAGGCAGUUCACUGGACUGCAACUGACACUGAGGCUCGAAAGUGUGGGUAUCAAACAGGAUUAGAUACCCCAGUAGUC
rnacentral:rRNA from 1 species